UGGGAAUAUUGCACAAUGGGCGAAAGCCUGAUGCAGCAACGCCGCGUGAGUGAUGAAGGCCUUCGGGUUGUAAAGCUCUGUCUUUUGGGACGAUAAUGACGGUACCAAAGGAGGAAGCCACGGCUAACUACGUGCCAGCAGCCGCGGUAAUACGUAGGUGGCAAGCGUUGUCCGGAUUUACUGGGCGUAAAGGAUGCGUAGGCGGAUUUUUAAGUGAGAUGUGAAAUACCCGGGCUUAACUUGGGUGCUGCAUUUCAAACUGGGAAUCUAGAGUGCGGGAGAGGAGAAUGGAAUUUCCUAGUGUAGCGGUGAAAUGCGUAGAGAUUAGGAAGAACACCAGUGGCGAAGGCGAUUCUCUGGACCGUAACUGACGCUGAGGCAUGAAAGCGUGGGUAGCAAACAGGAUUAGAUACCCUGGUAGUCCACGCCGUAAACGAUGAGUACUAGGUGUAGGAGGUAUCGACCCCUUCUGUGCCGCAGUUAACACAAUAAGUACUCCGCCUGGGAAGUACGAUCGCAAGAUUAAAA
rnacentral:rRNA from 1 species